rnacentral:rRNA from 1 species
UACGAAGGGGGCUAGCGUUGUUCGGAAUCACUGGGCGUAAAGCGCACGUAGGCGGAUCUUUAAGUCAGGGGUGAAAUCCCGAGGCUCAACCUCGGAACUGCCUUUGAUACUGGGGAUCUCGAGUCCGGGAGAGGUGAGUGGAACUGCGAGUGUAGAGGUGAAAUUCGUAGAUAUUCGCAAGAACACCAGUGGCGAAGGCGGCUCACUGGCCCGAUACUGACGCUGAGGCACGAAAGCGUGGGGAGCAACAGG